AUCGGAAUUACUGGGCGUAAAGAGUGCGUAGGCGGUCCCGCACGUCCGCUGUGAAAGCCCCGGGCUUAACCUGGGAAUGGCAGUGGAAACUAUGGGACUUGAAUCUGGCAGAGGGGGGUGGAAUGCCACGUGUAGCAGUGAAAUGCGUAGAGAUGUGGCGGAACACCGAUGGCGAAGGCAGCCCCCUGGGCUGAGAUUGACGCUCAGGCACGAAAGCGUGGGGAGCAAACAGG
rnacentral:rRNA from 1 species